rnacentral:sRNA from 19 species
GUUGAGUCGCCGCCGUGUGGAUUUGUGAGCAACCUCCCUGUUGCCCAAAAAUCCACAUGAGACUUAACCAGCCGACUUUCUAACCACGAGAGUAGACGAUGCAAAGUGAAGCGAAAGCGACACACCCAAGAAUGCUUAAUCAGUUCUUGGCUCUGUG